GAUGAACGCUGGCGGCGUGCCUAAUACAUGCAAGUCGAGCGAACUGAUUAGAAGCUUGCUUCUAUGACGUUAGCGGCGGACGGGUGAGUAACACGUGGGCAACCUGCCUGUAAGACUGGGAUAACUUCGGGAAACCGAAGCUAAUACCGGAUAGGAUCUUCUCCUUCAUGGGAGAUGAUUGAAAGAUGGUUUCGGCUAUCACUUGCAGAUGGGCCCGCGGUGCAUUAGCUAGUUGGUGAGGUAACGGCUCACCAAGGCAACGAUGCAUAGCCGACCUGAGAGGGUGAUCGGCCACACUGGGACUGAGACACGGCCCAGACUCCUACGGGAGGCAGCAGUAGGGAAUCUUCCGCAAUGGACGAAAGUCUGACGGAGCAACGCCGCGUGAGUGAUGAAGGCCUUCGGGUCGUAAACCUCUGUCAGUAGGAACGAUGGGUCUCCGGGCUAAUAUCCCGGAGACUUGACGGUACUUACAAAGGAAGCCCCGGCUAACUCCGUGCCAGCCGCCGCGGUAACAC
rnacentral:rRNA from 1 species